GAUGAAGAACGCAGCGAAAUGCGAUACGUAAUGUGAAUUGCAGAAUUCAGUGAAUCAUCGAGUCUUUGAACGCACAUUGCGCCCCCUGGUAUUCCGGGGGGCAUGCCUGUCCGAGCGUCAUUGCUGCCCUCAAGCCCGGCUUGUGUGUUGGGUCUCGUCCCCCUUCCCGGGGGGACGGGCCCGAAAGGCAGCGGCGGCACCGCGUCCGGUCCUCGAGCGUAUGGGGCUUUGUCACCCGCUCUGUAGGCCCGGCCGGCGCUUGCCGAUCAACCAAAACUUUUUUCCAGGUUGACCUCGGAUCAGGUAGGAAUACCCGCUGAACUUAAGCAUAUCAAUAAGCGGAGGA
rnacentral:misc_RNA from 1 species